rnacentral:rRNA from 1 species
GAGUUUGAUCCUGGCUCAGGAUGAACGCUGGCGGCGUGCCUAAUACAUGCAAGUCGAGCGAACAGAUAAGGAGCUUGCUCCUUUGAAGUUAGCGGCGGACGGGUGAGUAACACGUGGGUAACCUACCUAUAAGACUGGGAUAACUUCGGGAAACCGGAGCUAAUACCGGAUAACAUUUAGAACCGCAUGGUUCUAAAGUGAAAGAUGGUUUUGCUAUCACUUAUAGAUGGACCCGCGCCGUAUUAGCUAGUUGGUAAGGUAACGGCUUACCAAGGCAACGAUACGUAGCCGACCUGAGAGGGUGAUCGGCCACACUGGAACUGAGACACGGUCCAGACUCCUACGGGAGGCAGCAGUAGGGAAUCUUCCGCAAUGGGCGAAAGCCUGACGGAGCAACGCCGCGUGAGUGAUGAAGGUCUUCGGAUCGUAAAACUCUGUUAUUAGGGAAGAACAAAUGUGUAAGUAACUGUGCACGUCUUGACGGUACCUAAUCAG